rnacentral:rRNA from 1 species
UACGUAGGGUGCAAGCGUUAAUCGGAAUUACUGGGCGUAAAGCGUGCGCAGGCGGCUUUGCAAGACAGAUGUGAAAUCCCCGGGCUUAACCUGAGAACUGCAUUUGUGACUGCAUGGCUGGAGUGCGGCAGAGGGGGAUGGAAUUCCGCGUGUAGCAGUGAAAUGCGUAGAGAUGUGGAGGAACACCGAUGGCGAAGGCAGCCUCCUGGGCCAAUACUGACGCUCAUGCACGAAAGCGUGGGGAGCAAACAGG